AACGAACGCUGGCGGCGUGGAUAAGACAUGCAAGUCGAACGGGAACUCUCGCUGUAGCAAUACAGUGAAAGUUCUAGUGGCGAACGGGUGCGUAACACGUGGACAAUCUGCCUUAAAGUGGGGGAUAGCUCGGCGAAAGCCGAAUUAAUACCGCAUGUGAUGAGAGACGACAUCGUCUUGAAAUCAAAGCCGGGGCAACCUGGCGCUUUUUGAGGAGUCCGCGGCCAUCAGCUAGUUGGUGAGGUAACGGCUCACCAAGGCUAUGACGGGUAGCUGGUCUGAGAGGACGACCAGUCACACUGGAACUGAGACACGGUCCAGACACCUACGGGUGGCAGCAGUCGAGAAUUUUUGACAAUGGGGAAACCCUGAUCGAGCGACGCCGCGUGGAGGA
rnacentral:rRNA from 1 species